rnacentral:rRNA from 1 species
GACGAACGCUGGCGGCGUGCCUAAUACAUGCAAGUCGAACGAACCGCGACUAGGUGCUUGCACUUGGUCAAGGUGAGUGGCGAACGGGUGAGUAACACGUGGGUAACCUACCUCAUAGUGGGGGAUAACAGUCGGAAACGACUGCUAAUACCGCAUAGGACAUAGGAUCACAUGAUCCAGUGAGGAAAGGUGGCGCAAGCUAUCGCUAAGAGAUGGACCCGCGGUGCAUUAGCUAGUUGGUAGGGUAAAGGCCUACCAAGGCGAUGAUGCAUAGCCGACCUGGGAGGGUGAUCGGCCACAUUGGGACUGAGACACGGCCCAAACUCCUACGGGAGGCAGCAGUAGGGAAUCUUCCGCAAUGGACGCAAGUCUGACGGAGCAACGCCGCGUGAGUGAAGAAGGUCUUCGGAUCGUAAAGCUCUGUUGUUAGAGAAGAACAGCGCAUAGAGUAACUGUUAUGCGUGUGACGGUAUCUAACCAGAAAGCCACGGCUAACUACGUG